GUGAACGCUGGCGGUAGGCCUAACACAUGCAAGUCGAACGGCAGCACAGUAAGAGCUUGCUCUUACGGGUGGCGAGUGGCGGACGGGUGAGGAAUACAUCGGAAUCUACUUUUUCGUGGGGGAUAACGUAGGGAAACUUACGCUAAUACCGCAUACGACCUACGGGUGAAAGCAGGGGAUCUUCGGACCUUGCGCGAUUGAAUGAGCCGAUGUCGGAUUAGCUAGUUGGCGGGGUAAAGGCCCACCAAGGCGACGAUCCGUAGCUGGUCUGAGAGGAUGAUUAGCCACACUGGAACUGAGACACGGUCCAGACUCCUACGGGAGGCAGCAGUGGGGAAUAUUGGACAAUGGGCGCAAGCCUGAUCCAGCCAUACCGCGUGGGUGAAGAAGGCCUUCGGGUUGUAAAGCCCUUUUGUUGGGAAAGAAAAGCAGCAGGUUAAUACCCCGCUGUUCUGACGGUACCCAAAGAAUAAGCACCGGCUAACUUCGUG
rnacentral:rRNA from 1 species